rnacentral:lncRNA from 14 species
GGGGAGACAGGAAGUGACCUCACAGGGAAGAGAGAGGUUCCUCGGAUGAGGGGUUGCAACAUAAGGUGGGCCCCCUGGCCUUGAACGCGCUGAGUAUCUCGAGCUGCAAGCUCACGGUCCCUCCACUCAGCCUGCGGACAGCCCGGAGUGUGCCGCUGCC